rnacentral:rRNA from 1 species
UACGGGGGGGGCAAGCGUUGUUCGGAAUUACUGGGCGUAAAGGGCUGGUAGGCGGCCAACUAAGUCGGAUGUGAAAUCCCCGGGCUUAACCUGGGAAUGGCAUUUGGGACUGCAAGGCUGGAGUGUGGCAGAGGAGACUGGAAUUCCUGGUGUAGCAGUGAAAUGCGUAGAUAUCAGGAGGAAUACCGAUGGCGAAGGCGGCUUUCUGGACGACAACUGACGCUGAGACGCGAAAGCGUGGGGAGCAAACAGG